rnacentral:rRNA from 1 species
UACGAAGGGGGCUAGCGUUGCUCGGAAUUACUGGGCGUAAAGGGAGCGUAGGCGCACAUUUAAGUCAGGGGUGAAAUCCCGAGGCUCAACCUCGGAACUGCCUUUGAUACUGGAUGUCUUGAGUGUGAGAGAGGUGAGUGGAACUCCGAGUGUAGAGGUGAAAUUCGUAGAUAUUCGGAAGAACACCAGUGGCGAAGGCGACUCACUGGCUCAUUACUGACGCUGAGGCUCGAAAGCGUGGGGAGCAAACAGG